rnacentral:rRNA from 1 species
CAGCAGCCGCGGGAAUACGAAGGGGGCUAGCGUUGUUCGGAUUUACUGGGCGUAAAGCGCACGUAGGCGGGCUUUUAAGUCAGGGGUGAAAUCCCGGGGCUCAACCCCGGAACUGCCUUUGAUACUGGAAGUCUUGAGUAUGGAAGAGGUGAGUGGAAUUCCGAGUGUAGAGGUGAAAUUCGUAGAUAUUCGGAGGAACACCAGUGGCGAAGGCGGCUCACUGGUCCAUUACUGACGCUGAGGUGCGAAAGCGUGGGGAGCAAACAGGAUUAGAUACCCCCGUAGUCCCUGUCUCUUAUAC